AACGAACGCUGGCGGCAGGCCUAACACAUGCAAGUCGAACGAACCUUUAUGGUGAGUGGCGCACGGGUGCGUAACACGUGGGAAUAUACACUUCGGUAAGGAAUAACGUAGAGAAAUUUACGCUAAUACCUUAUAAUGGCUCCGGCCCAAAGAUUUAUCGCCGAAGGAUUAGCCCGCGCUAGAUUAGUUUGUUGGUGAGGUAAGAGCUCACCAAGACUACGAUCUAUAGCUGGUCUGAGAGGAUGAUCAGCCACACUGGAACUGAGACACGGUCCAGACUCCUACGGGAGGCAGCAGUGAGGAAUAUUGCGCAAUGGAGGAAACUCUGACGCAGCCAUGCCGCGUGAGUGACGAAGGCCCUAGGGUUGUAAAGCUCUUUCAAAUGCGAAGAUAAUGACGGUAACAUUAGAAGAAGCUCCGGCUAAAUUCG
rnacentral:rRNA from 1 species